rnacentral:rRNA from 1 species
UACGUAGGGUGCAAGCGUUGUCCGGAAUUAUUGGGCGUAAAGAGCUCGUAGGCGGUCUGUCGCGUCUGCUGUGAAAACUCGGGGCUUAACCCCGGGCCUGCAGUGGGUACGGGCAGACUAGAGUGCGGUAGGGGAGAUUGGAAUUCCUGGUGUAGCGGUGGAAUGCGCAGAUAUCAGGAGGAACACCAAUGGCGAAGGCAGAUCUCUGGGCCGUAACUGACGCUGAGGAGCGAAAGCAUGGGGAGCGAACAGG